AUCCUCCAUUGUAUACUCCCUCUGCCAAUUUGCAACAAGUCCAAACUUCUUUGGUUCCACCUGUUGCCAUUCCAUACCAUCAAAUUCUAAGUCGCAUGUUUUCUCUCAUAAUACUAUUUAACCGUAUGAAUAUACAGUAUGGAGAUGAUUUUAA